rnacentral:rRNA from 13 species
UCUUCUUGACGGGUCUCUUGGUUGAUCGAUCGAAGAGGGACACAGAGAAGUGCCAACUGAAAUAUGGAAAAUACUAUGACGAAUACUGUGAAUUGGU